ACUCAGGUGACGAGUUCCAAAUAGGACGAAAUGAGCAUCCUGGAU
rnacentral:hammerhead_ribozyme from 1 species